ACCCUUUUUGUACCAGGCAGUAAACAUGUUUAUUUCUGCUGUAAAGUUAUAACGUGGGAGUCUACGGGUAUUGACUAGUUUAUGGAGCCGGCCUCAAGUGGUCGUUGGAGGAAUUGCAGUUUUUGGCACUUCCGUAUUGGCUUCAUUUUUCAACCCCUGAGAUGCCGCUUGACGCCAACACAAUAAAGUUACAAGCUGGGUCCAGCUAUGCUUAUUUUUUAUUUAAUAGGGCAGUUAUCUAUGGAAAGUCCGACCAAAGGUUCCCUGGAAGAGAUGAAGACACUUUGCAAGGGCCCGGAGUGUGUGCUGCAGACGAUCUGUCAAGAUUUCCAGCUCUUGGGUCAGCUUGUACUCCUCACGAAACUGCUCACCCAGCAGCACCAGGUCACGCGUUGCGUCAUGUAGCGGGAUGUCACUCAGAACGAAGACAGUGUUGAUGUGGGAAAGGAUGCCGUGAAAACUGAAGUCAAUGUGAGGACGGACCAAAGAAAAAACUGAAGGGAGGAUACAGAGAGUGACUGACAGCGAGUCUGGCCAAUAGCAGAUCAGAGACGGUCUUACGUAAGCCAUUUGUGACCAAUAAGGACGAAGAUGCCGUUGUCCAACUGAUGCUGGAGAAGCUGAAAUCUCCGCAGGCAAAUACACAGUUACUGCUAACAUUUGUGGGCUGUGCAGCAGCUUGACUUCAUUUCAGAGUCAGUUUUGAAGUUUUGAAGGAGGCCUCCAAAAAGUAACAAACACC